rnacentral:ncRNA from 1 species
GAUAACUGGCUCGUGGCAGCCAAGUGUUCAUAGCGAUGAUGCUUUUUGAUCCUUCGAUGUCGGCUCUUCUUAUCAUUGUGAAGCAAAAUUCACCAAGUGUUGGAUUGUUCACCCACCAAUAGGAAACGUGAACUGGGUUUAGACAGUCGUGAGACAGGUU